rnacentral:lncRNA from 1 species
GCAAUUCUGUGUGUGUGCAGCUAACACAUUCCUUAAUCUACAAGCCUCUGCAUGUGAACAUAACUGCAUUAAGUCCAAAUUAGUCUUUUCUUUGCUCAGUACCUGUAACUUUUACUCGCUACAUGGAUGUUCCAUCAGUUUAUGAGGUUUAUUCCUGUCCAUCAAGUCUCUGAAAGUUCUUAAACCUUAUUUAGUAGUUUUUAUUUAAACCUCAGUUUUAUCAUUUUAUAAUCAUCAAGGGUUGAUUUUGUUGUAACUGGGAUCGUUUAUUGACUGCAUGCAUGUUUAGACAGGUUGAUAUAGAUGGUUACUUGUUUUCCUUUCAUCUAUAUAUCACAUUUUGCAUGCAUUUCUCUCUAGUCACAACCAGUUAGCCAAGUUAGCAAGCACUCUUUCGAAAUGGCCAUUAUGCAUACACUACAAAGACUCCUUUGCUGACCGAUAUUAACUCCCAUUAGCAUAAACCUUGAUGUUCAUCCCCAAACCGUGAUUGGAAUACAUUUUUUAAAUAUGUUUUGUGAUAGACAGAUUUUUAUUUCAUUAUAUCAUUAUUGUCAAAGAGUUUGGAAUUAGUUUGGUUUUGGUUUACACCUCAGGUAUGUGCCACAGCAGCUGAGCGGUCAGUGCAUCUGGAAGCCUUGAGAAGAAUUACAGAGAGUCUGCACCCUGCAGAGAGUGUUCUUCUCAGCACCACCCAUCGGAGAACAGACACAAAGAAGGUGGAGAGUGUUCAGUGCUGCACAGACUCCAGAAGUGACUUGGCACCAUGCCAGGAUGGCAGGGGGGGAGCAGUCAGGGAUUGUGUCCUGCUGAGGAAGACUGUACAGCUGGAUGACCUAAGCAUCGACCACUCACAGGGUGUUGUCCAGAACAACAUUGUGGUGAUAAAACAGAUACCAGAGAGGAUCGUCAUUCAUCCCUGUUCAGCACAGGAAGAGAAGGUUACCACAGAGGAAACUCAGAGCAGGUAAACACUUUUGAUACAAGUGACUGAACCAUCAAGAAAUGGAUAUAUUUCCCUACUCUGUCAAUACUAUCUAAAGAUGUAAAAAUCAAAUAUAAAAAGGACCAUUCUAUAUGCAACUUAUAUGCUGCUACCAUUUAAAAUGUUCAUAAUGAUUACUUUAUGAAAUAAAUACAUGUUAUUUAUUAAUUAAAAUCUAGAAUAUAAUCCUUAUAAAACAUUUUAUGUACACACUUUGUAUAUGCAUUUUUCCCCUUCCAGCUACAGUGCUGUUCAGUCAGUCUUCCAGUUGCAGCUGCUUAACAACAGUCAGCAGCUGGGAUCAGAGUUUCCCAUCAGCCCCAGCAGCAAUGCCAGUAUCUCUGCUGACUCACUGAGAACUCAACUCCAGCACCUACUGGUUAGUCUCCUCACCACUUUCCUGCAUUUGGGGUGCAUUUUGUAUACUAAAUAGCUGUGUGCUCAUUUAAAGGCUCUUAAAGAACCGGACAGAGGAUCUGUCAUUUUGUAUACAAAUAGCUGUGUGCUCAUUUAGGCUCUUAAAGAACCGGACAGAGGAUCUGUGGCGUGAGUUUGAGCUUCAGUAUUCCCAGAACUCUCAGCACAUGGAAGAUGGCUGUAAUAUGGAGCAGGAGAGAACUCAGCUUAUUCAACAGUGGAAGGAACAACAGAUGUGCUUUCAGGCCAGGUGAGACAUGUAGUCAAUCCAGAAUGCAGAUAAACUCUGUGGAUAAGGAAAAAUAUUAAUUAUAAUAAUUUCUCAUUCAUUUCUGAAAAGUAUGUAUGGAAACAGUUCAGAGUAAAUAAAUAUAAACUAUUUUGUCCAAUAUUCAACUUCAUUGAAAUCUAUUUUCAGGCCUCCCAUGUGGAGCUCUAUUUCUGUGGUGCACAGAGUUGUUGUUGUUUAAAAGCUGGUCCAAAUUUGUCACUUAUAAUGUUUCAUGACCAUGUUGCAAGGGAGCUUGCUAACUUUUGGAGCAGAGCUACUGUUAGCCAAAAGUAUAACACUGUGUCUACACCAGACUUGAGCAGCGCGGUGCAACACAAAAAAUACUAUAGAACCCAUUAUAAUCAUGUAUGCUGUCUACACUGGAUGUGACAUGACAAAUCCCUGACAGUAAACUGAUGCUUUGUUCUAUUUAUGACACACUAACACAAAGUUCAAAUGAUUUGCAAUGGUUGCUUGACUUUAGACAUCCUCAAGCUGUUGCAUACAGUGUAGACACGGUGUAAGUGGCACAAUAAUAAUGUUAUUUUAUACAUAUGUUGUUCAGGGUGAAGUCCCUUGAAACUGCGGUAGAGCUGCUGGAAUCUGCAGACAUUCAGAUGAGACUAAUUUCUGAUCAGAUCAAACAGAUUAUUCAGAAACCUCUGAAUAUUAGAAACUUUGCCAUUGCUGAUCCCACAAAUCUACAUGAAGAAAUAAAGGUGAUUAUCCUCCAAAUUCUUCUUCGUGCUUGCAGAUACUUGUAGAUCUAAAUGUUUUUCUCGCCUCAAAAUCAGCAAAUCGGACAACUGACACAGUUUUUUUUUUUCUGUUAAAAUGCCCAGCUUGUGCAUAUUUUACCUUUAAGAAAUGUUUGCUUACUCAUUCAAAGCA